CAGCUAUAUAAGUAGACGAGUUUGUCUUUAAAUUCAAAUUAGUUUUAUAAAACUACAAUAACGCAGCAAAGAAAAUAAAGUUAACAACUUUAUAUAAUUGAAUAUAUCAAGUUUGAAGAGUUCCUUGCCAUGCAAACUAGAAACGCAGCUUAUUUACUGAUAUGCCUUAUAGCAUUACAUAUGGUGUCGGAAAUUGCCACCCGACCACAAGCAAACUGCUGUCGGUACAGAAGGUGUCCUAUUGGGAAAAUGUGCGUAAAUAUUGGUUCCCGUUGUAGAUGUAAGAGUAAUCGUGUUAUUUCGGACUUUUUAGACAUGUUCAUGGGAUCUCCAAAGGAACAAAAACUUUCAAUAGAAGUUAGUGAGGAGGAUGAUCAACAGUUCUGGUAAUAAGAGGGCACAUCAAUUCCAACUGUGAUAUUCAACUUUGUGAUUAUUAUUACAACUAAAUAUCAAUGAACAUUUUUUAUUUUUACCACUUGUGUUCAUAUUUGAGUUCCUUUUGUAAUUUUAUUGAAUUUCUUAUGCUCGAACAUUAGUAUUUUAUAAUACUCAGUGGUGUAAACUUUAAUUGUGUACGAAACUAUGUACGGUAAAGUUUGCAUAAAUAAUGAUAUCGCUGUAUUCUUAUUGUGAUACUCUUUCACUAUUUGAAAGAAUUAUUAUCAUUAUAUACGUAACUUCUGUGAUCUUAAAUAGUAUUAUUACUAAAUGAUCUUUUUGUAGAGAUAUUGUUUGUGUCCAACGUAAUGAUGUCAAAUUUUUUAUCUUCUCGGAUGUUUAAUAUCUGUGUUGUGUGUUUUUAAGUUGAAAUCCAUGACUUUUAAAUUUUGCUUACUCUUUAUUUAUUUAUUUAUAAAUUUAUUUGAAAAUGGGUGUGAUAUUUUAGAUACAUGUUUUAUGUUCCAUUUUAUUUGCAAUCUAUAUACAGUGUACAUGUUCACAUAUUUCAAAUAUACUCAUUUUUUACAUUUAUUUGUUAGCCAUUUGAACUUUAUUGAAUAAUGAUCUAGAAAUAAAGAAGUUUAAUACUAA